CGACAGGUGUUCUGCUGCGUAUUUUCAGCUGAUUCCUUGGCGGUGGUAUUUUUUCAGGUUAUGGGGAGUCACAGAAGCUUCUUGAGGCAGCUAUGCAACAAAACAAUUAGGGUUUGGACCUGGACUCUGGAAAACCUUGCCUCAGACAUUUACUCUGUGAUCCUAAAGAGAUGAUGACCUGUACAAGGAUGGUAGUCAUUUGAUGGAAAGAAGAGGAUGGAUGUAAGAAAUAUCAUAGAAGUAGAAUUGCCAAAACAUCACCUGAAUGGACAUGAAAAGUCAUGAAUUAAGAGUCAAAGAAAGAGACCGAGGUGGUUUCCUCAACAGAAACAGAGGACAGGAAGAGGGCUAGAGAAGGAAAUGGCAAACCGCUCCAGUAUCUUUGUCAAGAAAACCCCA